rnacentral:lncRNA from 1 species
UUGAUUGAUACUAGUCCUUAAUUAAAGAUUACUGCUUGUUUUAUGUACUCGUUUUCCAGUACUAUAAAUACUCCUCCUGAUUCCUUUGGAAAAAAACGAGAAAAAAACACACUGCAUCUCUCGCAUAAUUUCAAACUCUCUACAUUCUUUCUCUAUUAUUUCUAUACGCUCUCAUUCUCUUAUUUUAAUACUCAAUCGGCUGAAAGCCAAGAUUUAGUGGCCUGGGCUGUUUAUUUCUACACUACUGGAUUCAAUUGCUUUGUUCACUUGGGUUUGCUGCUAUUGCUAUUCUCAUACUACUAUUCUCUCAGUUGCUCACACUCUCUGCACAUCCUGCUCUCUCUGUGCACUAUUGCUCAUUGUCACUUGUGUUUUGUUUGUCUGCAACUGGUAUGUUAUCUAUUUAGUAUACAGCUCCCAAAACAAUAUGCUUCUGUUAGUCCUGCACUUUAUCUUGUUCCUUGUGUGUUUUUAUCUGUGGUUCUGCUGUUCUUAUUGUCACUAGCAUGCACUUACUAGCCCAUCUAGUUUAGAUUAGCAUGUUCCCCUUACCCCUUCCCAGUUUCCAUGUAUGUUUACCUUCUUUGUGUAUUACUAGCAUGUGUCCAGGGCUGGUUGGCUACUUGAUUAGCCUAAAAACCUCUUCCCUAAGGGUAAGUGUUAGGGGUUUCGUGCAGUAAGAACUGAAACCCCCUGUUUGUUGCAACUAUGUCUGAUUACCUACCUUCAAUAUGUUGUCUAUGUAUAGGUAGUUCCCUGCACUUAUCUGUUCCCUUCCCCUUUGCCCCUGUUUGAGUGAUGCUCUGUUUUAAACAAGUUAGUAUCAAUGAUUCCUCAAACUGUCUCUCAACUCCUUUUGUAUUAACUGUUUUCUUAAACUGACUCUCAAUUGUUUUAAAUUCUUUCAAUCCUAUCACAACUUCACUACUUUUAGAACACUAAGUUCUGCCCCCUUAGUGUAAGUAUUGCCUUGGGUGCCCUUGAGCACCUAUUGAACUUUGAUGCACAAGGCUGGCACUUCCACACUUGCACAUGUCUAAUAAUGACACUUUGGGUUCUUGGUAUUAACUAGGGGUUCAAACGAACCCUUAGGGAAUUUUGUCGCACCCAAGCCUUGGUAAUGGCUGUGAAACCCGAAAGAAAUGAGGUUGGAGAUGUUUUGCCCUGGCUUUGGAGGCUCUCUGUAAAAUAACUUCUUAUUUUUCUUUUAUCACUGUUGUAAUUUAAUGUAUCUGGGUUCUAAUAAAAUUGGGGUUAUAGUGAAUAUGAGGGAUAUGCAUAUUUAAUUAAGGGAAUAGGUAGAAAACAUUCCUAUUGACCUUUACUUACUUACUUGUGCAAUAGCUACCAUGCUUUAGGACAUGUAUCCGCGCAUAUAGAAAUCAUGUUCUUAGGCUUUUCACUUUUAGUUUAUUAUUAUGAAUAUCCUCGUAACCAUGACUAAUUAAUAAUCAACAAGUCAUUAACAUCAUAAUUAGAUACCGUGCUCAUAGGACCUUUUGUGCAUUAGAUACCAUGCCUUAGGACUUUUGUCUGCAAUUGUUUAAGUAUUUCGUUAAUCUGGGUUAAAAUUGGUUAACAACCCUCUCUUUAACACUGGAAGCAAAUGUGCAUGCUCACCUUUCUUUAAUAAUCCCUAGGCAAUCCUUAGGCCAGUUAACAAACCUCUCUUUAAAACUGGAGGAAAAUGUGCAUGCUCACCUUUCUUUAAUAACGCCUGGGCAAGCCGCAUGCCGGAUAAAAUGGGUUAAUCACCUCUAAGUCAUGUUCGAAUUAAUCCGCCUCUGCCUGAAUUCGUCUGUUUCUGAAACUGUCUCAUUUUUAUAAACUUCUGCCCUAUAUUAAAAUUACUUAUGCAAUAGAUUCCUACUUUGUCCAGAAUUGGACUACUAUUUUCAAACCAUAUAUGCAAAUACUUCUAUUUGUCCAGAAGUGGACUACUAUUUAUCAAAACCAUAUAUACAAAUACUGUAUUUCCCCAUCCAGCACUUGGCUACUGCUAUAUUUCAAGCUAUCUGAAUACUGUCAAUUUUUAAAUGUUCAGAACCUGACAUGUUUUCUUUAUACUUCUGCAAUCUCAAAAAAUACUCUCAUUCUGCUCGUCCGAAAACUGUGUUCC